AUUUACAUUCCUACAACAUUAAUGCACUAGAUCCCAUAAGAACUCUAUAGUUAAGCAUGCUUGGGCUAGAGUAGUACUGGUAUGGGUGACCUCCCUAGAAGUCCUAUUGUUUUACAUG
rfam:Picea glauca, whole genome shotgun sequence.